rnacentral:lncRNA from 1 species
UAGAAAAUAAAAAGUAUGUAGGUUUCAUCCACACAUGCAAAUGCUUACUUGAAGAUUAAAAAAUGGUUUAUUCCUAAGAGUGCGUGUCUAAUAUGCAAGGUAAGUAAGAAGUAGCUAGAAAGAGUGACUCCUAGAGCGCAAUCGACAAAUAAAUCACCAUAAAAUGAAAGAAUGUGGUGGAGGAUCAGGGGCCAUCAAAACCAUAUCACAAUAUAAUAUCUCUCAAUCAUUUUCCCAAACUUUUCAAAUAACUUUUAUACUAUUUUCAAAUCUACCUUUCCAAUAAUCCUACCAAGUACCCCGCACGAAACUUCCUCUUUCUAUCCAAACGACAAAUUGUCCAAAUGGAUAAUUCCAGAAUCAUCCUUUUCAUUUUUUUGAACUUCCUUCCUGCCUC